AGACAAAGUAAAUAGGUCAGUGGCAGCAGUUCGAGAGGUGGUGAAGGACAAUGGUGGGAAGAUGGCAGAUCCAGGAUCCAUUAUGUUCAAAUUUCAACGUGCUCGGGUUGCUAAUGUUAAAGUCACUGAUGUCGACCGCGACCAGCUCUUAACAAUUGCUUUGGAUGCUGGUGCUGAAGAUAUCAUUGAACCUUCAAUGGAUGAAUAUGAUACAGAAGCAGAUUCAUCUGAGAGGGUUUACAAAGUCGUGUCUUCUGCGGAGAACUAUCCAG
rnacentral:misc_RNA from 1 species